UACGUAGGGGGCAAGCGUUGUCCGGAAUCAUUGGGCGUAAAGAGCGUGUAGGCGGCCCGGUAAGUCCGCUGUGAAAGUCCAGGGCUCAACCCUGGGAUGCCGGUGGAUACUGUCGGGCUCGAGUCCGGAAGAGGAGUGUGGAAUUCCUGGUGUAGCGGUGAAAUGCGCAGAUAUCAGGAGGAACACCAAUGGCGAAGGCAGCACUCUGGGCCGCAACUGACGCUGAGGCACGAAAGCCUGGGGAGCGAACGGG
rnacentral:rRNA from 1 species